AUUGAGCGCUGGCGGCAUGCUUUACACAUGCAAGUCGAACGGUAACAGGGUGCUUGCACCGCUGACGAGUGGCGAACGGGUGAGUAAUGCGUCGGAACGUGCCGAGUAGUGGGGGAUAACGCAGCGAAAGUUGUGCUAAUACCGCAUACGUACUGAGGUAGAAAGUGGGGGACCUUCGGGCCUCACGCUAUUCGAGCGGCCGACGUCUGAUUAGCUAGUAGGUGAGGUAAAGGCUCACCUAGGCGACGAUCAGUAGCGGGUCUGAGAGGAUGAUCCGCCACACUGGGACUGAGACACGGCCCGGACUCCUACGGGAGGCAGCAGUGGGGAAUUUUGGACAAUGGGCGAAAGCCUGAUCCAGCCAUGCCGCGUGUCUGAAGAAGGCCUUCGGGUUGUAAAGGACUUUUGUCAGGGAGGAAAUCCCUAGUGCUAAUAACACUGGGGGAUGACAGUACCUGAAGAAUAAGCACCGGCUAACUACGUGCCAGCAGCCGCGGUAA
rnacentral:rRNA from 1 species